ACGUAGGGGGCAAGCGUUGUCCGGAAUUAUUGGGCGUAAAGGGUGCGUAGGCGGCCUUUCAAGUUGGAUGUGAAAUCCCCAUGCUUAACAUGGGAAUUGCAUGCAAAACUGGAGGGCUUGAGUGUGGAAGAGGUAAGUGGAAUUCCCAGUGUAGCGGUGAAAUGCGUAGAUAUUGGGAGGAACACCAGUGGCGAAGGCGACUUACUGGGCCACAACUGACGCUGAGGCACGAAAGCGUGGGGAGCAAACAG
rnacentral:rRNA from 1 species